rfam:Drechmeria coniospora strain ARSEF 6962 chromosome, whole genome shotgun sequence.
GUAAUUAUAGUUCAAUUGGUAGAACGUCUAAUUGUGGCUUAGAAGGUUUCCGGUUCAAUCCCGGAUAAAUACC